rnacentral:rRNA from 1 species
CCCUAUCUGCCGUGGGUGUAGGAUACUUGAGAGGAGUUGCCCCUAGUACGAGAGGACCGGGGUGAACGAUCCACUGGUGGACCUGUUGUUGCGCCAGCAGCAGUGCAGGGUAGCUAUGAUCGGACAGGAUAACCGCUGAAGGCAUCUAAGCGGGAAGCCCCCCUCAAAACAAGGUAUCCCUGAGGACCGUGGUAGACCACCACGUCGAUAGGCCGGAGAUGUAAGCACAGCAAUGUGUUCAGU